AGAGGGAUUACUCGUCCAAAAAGGCAAUAUUGGUGGAGGGGUUAAAGGCAGCUGGUUUCACAGUAUACCCCUCGAGUGGAACGUACUUUGUGGUUGUUGAUCACACUCCUUUUGGGCUAGAAAAUGACAUUGCCUUCUGUGAAUACCUGAUCAAGGAAGUUGGUGUUGUAGCAAUUCCAACUAGCGUAUUUUAUUUAAAUCCAGAAGAAGGAAAGAAUCUUGUCAGGUUUACCUUAUUAGAAAAUGACAUUGCCUUCUGCGAACACCUGAUCAAGGAAGUUGGUGUUGUAGCCAUUCCAACUAGCGUAUUCUAUCUAAAUCCAGAAGAAGGAAAGAAUCUUGUCAGGUUUACCUUCUGCAAAGAUGAUGAUACUCUUAAAAAUGCAGUGCAGAGGAUGAAGCAGAAGCUGUCAAAGAAGUGAGGAGCUGUAAGAGAGACAUCAUCUCUUAUUGUUCUGGCAUGAAUUGUUUGUAAAUGUGAUAAUUACUUGUACAUUGUUUGCUGAUAGUCAUUUUCUGAAAGGUGAGGCUCAAUAAGAACUUAGCAUGUUGUAACCCUGUAAACGUAGGAACGGGAAGCAGUUGGAGAUAUAAUGCCCAUUCUUGAUAUUAUGAAACUGCCCCAACCCUCCCCAAAGCCACACUUCCUCCGGAGGUCUCUCUUCUUAAUUAAUAGAUAGGGGAAACAUAACACAUUUCACUUCAACUUCAAAACAUCUUUGCAAAUUGAGAGUAUGAUUGAUUGCUUAUUAUGUGACAAACAGGAAAUUUUAUUUUGUAGUACU
rnacentral:lncRNA from 1 species